GGGGAUGCCCGGCUUCGAUAGGAUGCAUUCCGAUGAUGCGCGCGCCGCGAUCCACGGCACCCGCGUCCCAAUCCGUGGAACCCUUUGAAGUGCCAACGCACUCACCAAGGUGAAGAACGCCCUGCGCGUUCCGAGCCUGGUUCCGUCGGUCGCCUAAUAACGACCUGACCGUCCCCUGCUCCGCGCCUGCCGGAGCCGAUCCGGACGUCAUCUGCAGGCUCGCGUCUGCGCCGUGCCCCGGCGCUGCCGUCAGAUCCACGGGGCUUGCGGCGAGCGUUUUUUGAACGCUUUCACCGCUCGCCGGACUUCUAAGCGUCCUACGCGCGUAGAGCAUCAGCGGUUCCGUAUCUUACACGUGGGUUCGACUCCCACCAUCUCCACUU
rnacentral:tmRNA from 1 species